rnacentral:tRNA from 1 species
GCGGAUGUGGCGUAAUUGGUAGCCGCGUAAGACUUAGGAUCUUAUGCUUUCGAGCGUGGGGGUUCGAGUCCCUUCAUCCGUA